rnacentral:tRNA from 1 species
GGGGUUGUGGCUCAGCAGUAGAGCACUCGCCUAGCACGUGUGAGGCUCUGGGUUCGAUCCUCAGCACCA